rnacentral:rRNA from 1 species
AUUGAACGCUGGCGGCAUGCCUUACACAUGCAAGUCGAACGGCAGCACGGGAGCAAUCCUGGUGGCGAGUGGCGAACGGGUGAGUAAUACAUCGGAACGUGUCCAGUUGUGGGGGAUAGCCCGGCGAAAGCCGGAUUAAUACCGCAUACGACCGUACGGGUGAAAGGCGGGGAUCGCAAGACCUCGCGCUAGUUGGGGCGGCCGAUGUCAGAUUAGCUUGUUGGUGGGGUAAAAGCCUACCAAGGCGACGAUCUGUAGCUGGUCUGAGAGGACGACCAGCCACACUGGGACUGAGAAACGGCCCAGACUCCUACGGGAGGCAGCAGUGGGGAAUUUUGGACAAUGGGCGCAAGCCUGAUCCAGCCAUGCCGCGUGCGGGAAGAAGGCCU